CCCCUCACUUUCUACCUUUUAAAUUUAAAACAUCGACUUGAACAGUUGCACGAAAAAUUUACAUUAUCCAUGCUGGCCAUUCUUACCCACACUGGAGUUAUUGACUAAACAUCGCUUUGCAGGACGGGAGUUUUUUUUUUCAGAAGACAAUUUAUGUUUUUUCCAACAAGCUUUAAAAGCGUACGUGCUAAAAUUCACAUAAAUUGGGAUUAAUAUGUAAUUUAUUUAAGUCAGGAUGAGCGAAUUUUCCCCGUUUACGCGCAUGUGCUAAGAAGUUACGGUGAGUGACGUAAUUUAUCAAUAUAGAACUAUACCUUAAUGUAACUGUGUUGUUUUUAUAUCAGAACUGACGAUGCACAGCGAGAAAGCAGAACAAUUCAUUACUGAAAAACGUAAAUAUAAUAAUGUACAGAUUGCAGGAUGGUACUGAAUGUUGCUUCAUGUUACUUCAUGUUAUUGUGAGUGUUACAUGAUGGAACUAAACGUCACUGCAUGUCCCUGAAUGUUUCUUGAUGUGAAUGGAAGUGAUGAACGUUAAUGGUUUCAAAUCGAUGAAGAUUUGAUAAAAAGGAGCAUCAGCACAGUAAAUAAAUUCGUUUCUUUGGCCUAUUAAAUCAAGAAGAAAUUACGUUACAAGUGAGCCUGUUGUCAAACUGCUAAAUACAUGAGUGGCCUCAAGUUUCAUGGAACACCAUCUUAACAAAGAAGAAGAUCAAAAAUCUUUCUGGUAACGUGAUCUCAAGUUGCUUACACCAUUGGUUUACACGCAUGCAUAUCAUUUAAUACGAGUGAAAUCAAUGCGCGUGCGCAGGAAAAGCCACAAAUUAAUCCCACUCUGGUUAAGCCUAGCAACAUUUAAUUAGUUCGCAGCUUGCCUCGUGACUUUAUAAUGAAGAGAAGUAUUUCUCGAACUAUAAACUGCAUUGUUGAUGGGAACUAUUCGGGGAGCCUGCACUUUUUGAUAUUCAAUCUUUGACCUCGUUUAGUUCGGUCUAAAUUUAAUUCAUUAAAAACGGUGGGGGCUGUGAAAACUUAAAAAGGUGCGAAUCUUCCAUUCACACUGUGUGAUAACAUUUACACAUGAAAUUUAAUUAAACUAUUAAUGAAACA